rnacentral:rRNA from 1 species
UGGCUCAGGAUGAACGCUGGCGGCGUGCCUAACACAUGCAAGUCGAGCGGAGAGAGGCGCCGGAGAAGGUUUCGGCCUGAUUCAUGCCUUUCUUAGCGGCGGAUGGGUGAGGAACGCGUGGAGAACCUGCCUCACACAGGGGGAUAACAGCUGGAAACGGCUGUUAAUACCGCAUAUGCUCACGUUGCCGCAUGGCACAGGGAGGAAAGAUUUAUCGGUGUGAGAUGGCUCCGCGUCGGAUUAGCCAGUUGGCGGGGUAACGGCCCACCAAAGCGAUGAUCCGUAGCCGGCCUGAGAGGGCGACCGGCCACAUUGGGACUGAGACACGGCCCAAACUCCUACGGGAGGCAGCAGUGGGGGAUAUUGCACAAUGGGCGAAAGCCUGAUGCAGCGACGCCGCGUGAAGGAAGACGUACUUCGGUAUGUAAACUUCUAUCAGCAGGGAAGAAGAUGACGGUACCUGACUAAGAAGCCCCGGCUAACUACGUGCCAGCAGCGGC